rnacentral:rRNA from 1 species
AUACGGAGGGUGCAAGCGUUACUCGGAAUCACUGGGCGUAAAGCGCGCGCAGGCGGUCUUUUAAGUUGGAUGUGAAAGCCUACGGCUCAACCGUAGAACUGCAUCCAAAACUAUUAGACUAGAGUGUGGGAGAGGAAGAUGGAAUUAGUUGUGUAGGGGUAAAAUCCGUGGAGAUAACUAGGAAUACCAAAAGCGAAGGCAAUCUUCUGGAACACUACUGACGCUGAGGCGCGAAAGCGUGGGGAGCAGACAGGAUUAGAUACCCUAGUAGUCC